GGCAAAUGUGGUGUAGUGGUUAGAGUUUCAGGCUAGGACCUUGGAGAUCAGGGUUCAAGUCCCCACUUGGCCA